UACAGAGGUCUCAAGCGUUGUUCGGAUUCAUUGGGCGUAAAGGGUGCGUAGGCGGCGCGGUAAGUCGGGUGUGAAAUCUCGGGGCUUAACUCCGAAACUGCAUUCGAUACUGCCGUGCUUGAGGACUGGAGAGGAGACUGGAAUUUACGGUGUAGCGGUGAAAUGCGUAGAUAUCGUAAGGAAGACCAGUGGCGAAGGCGGGUCUCUGGACAGUUCCUGACGCUGGGGCACGAAGGUCAGGGGAGCAAACGGGG
rnacentral:rRNA from 1 species